rnacentral:lncRNA from 1 species
GCAUUUUUUAGCUAACAAGUUUGUUGUUUUGUUGUUCGUUGUUGUCUUUUCUUUUAGGUACCAUGGCUGCCACCAAUCUCGAUGCCACGUUUGACCGCAUCACUAACAAUAUUGAAGACAUGAAAGGGCACGUUGAAAGGCUACGCCAAUUGGUAUCCACACUUAUCCCAACAAAUCCAAAACCUAAGGUCCAAACACCUUGCGGUGAGAGCUUCCCGAAGGAAGUUGCUGCCCAAACUUGUGAAGGACUUUCACACCGAGGUAAAUAUGAACAUACUCA